rnacentral:rRNA from 1 species
GACUUCUGGAAGGAUGCAUUUAGAUAAAAGUUGACGCGGUUUAACCCGUUGCUCUGAUGAUUCAUGAUAACUCGACGAUCGCAUAGCUUUGACGCUGGCGACGCAUCAUUCAAUUUUGCCCUAUAAACUUCGAUGGUAGGAUGUGGCCUACCAUGGUGGUGACGGGUGACGGAAAUUAGGGUUCGAUUCCGGAGAGGGAGCCUGAGAAACGGCUACCACAUCCAGGAAGGCAGCAGGCGCGCAAAUUACCCAAUCCUGACACGGGGAGGUAGUGACAAUAAUAACAAUACCGGGCUCAUUGAGUCUGUAAUGGAAUGAGUACAAUCUAAAUCCCUUAACGAGGAUCCAUUGAGGCAAGUCUGGUGCCAGCACCGCGGUAAUUCCAGCCCAUAGCGUAUAUUAAGUUUUGCAGGUUAAAAAGCUCGUAGUUGGACUUGGGAUGGGGCGACGGUCGCCUCCGCGAGCACGAACGGCUCGUCCCUUCUGCUGCGAUGCGUCCUGGCCUUAAUUGGCCGGGUCGUGCUCCGGCGCUGUUACUUUGAAGAAUUAGAGUGCUCAAAGCAGGCCUAAGCUCUGAAACAUUAGCAUGGGAUAACAUCAUAGGAUCCGGUCCUUUGUGUUGCCUUCGGAUCGGAGUAAUGAUUAACAGGACAGUCGGGGGCAUUCGUAUUUCAUAGUCAAGGUGAAAUUCUUGAUUAUGAAAGACAACAACUGCGAAAGCAUUUGCCAAGGAUUUUUCAUUAAUCAAGAACGAAAGUUGGGCUCGAAGACAUCAGAUACCGUCCUAGCUCAACCAUAAACGAUGCCGACCAGGGAUCGGCGGAUGUUACUCUUAGGACGCCGCCGGCACCUAUGAGAAAUCAAAGUUUUUGGGUUCCGGGAGUAUGGUCGCAAGGCUGAAACUUAAAGGAUUGACGGAAGGCACCACCAUCACCACCACCACCACCACCACCAUCUCCAUAUCACCACCACCACCAUAGGAUCCUGAUGCUGAUCUAGCUCCUGCUGUUGCUCCGCAUCUAUACCUGUCAAAGGCAAGUCUCUACCAGUUAAGGUUCAUCUCCACCAGAGAGUGCUGCAACUCCGCCCAUUAAGAGCAGUCAGCGAGACCACCUGGUUGCAGAUUUGGAUUAAAAGACAGCAUACAGGAAGACUGUAAAAGGUCUUUUGCAGCUCCAGCUUUGCACCGAGAAUAUCUCCUUAUUAUUCUGCUGCGUCGCAUGUUCAUCCUCCGAUGGCAAGUGAGACAGAUUCUGAGCCUCCAGACAAAUGACCUCCACUGCCCUUCUCCAUCUACAUCUGGAGCUGGCUAUGAGUAACUGUUCCUGGUAUUCGCCCUCUUUAUGCCUUCUUAUUAAUCCGUAGUUGGCAUGGAGCACCACUAUUUCUUGUUAAAUCGAGUCCCUGCAGCAUGGAGGACUUGUUUGUAUCAACGAUUCAAACAAUCAAGAGAACGCUGCAGAUCUUAUGAGUGGAAGCUGUGCAAAAAAAUGGCUUCCCCCUCUCCGUAUUUACCGAGUGAAU